rnacentral:rRNA from 1 species
AUUGAACGCUGGCGGCAUGCCUUACACAUGCAAGUCGAACGGUAACAGGUCUUCGGAUGCUGACGAGUGGCGAACGGGUGAGUAAUACAUCGGAACGUGCCCAGACGUGGGGGAUAACGAGGCGAAAGCUUUGCUAAUACUGCAUACGAUCUAAGGAUGAAAGCAGGGGACCGCAAGGCCUUGUGCGUUUGGAGCGGCCGAUGGCAGAUUAGGUAGUUGGUGGGAUAAAAGCUUACCAAGCCGACGAUCUGUAGCUGGUCUGAGAGGACGACCAGCCACACUGGGACUGAGACACGGCCCAGACUCCUACGGGAGGCAGCAGUGGGGAAUUUUGGACAAUGGGCGAAAGCCUGAUCCAGCAAUGCCGCGUGCAGGAUGAAGGCCUUCGGGUUGUAAACUGCUUUUGUACGGAACGAAAAGGCUCUGGCUAAUACCUGGGGCACAUGACGGUACCGUAAGAAUAAGCACCGGCUAACUACGUG